rnacentral:rRNA from 1 species
CGCGUAGGCGGUUUACACAGUCAGAUGUGAAAUUCCAGGGCUUAACCUUGGGGCUGCAUUUGAUACGUGUAGACUAGAGUGUGAGAGAGGGUUGUGGAAUUCCCAGUGUAGAGGUGAAAUUCGUAGAUAUUGGGAAGAACAUCAGUGGCGAAGGCGACAACCUGGAUCUUAACUGACACUGAGGCGCGAAGGCGUGGGGAGCAAACAGGAUUAGAUACCCCGGUA